AACGAACGCUGGCGGCAUGCCUAACACAUGCAAGUCGAACGAGACCUUCGGGUCUAGUGGCGCACGGGUGCGUAACGCGUGGGAACCUGCCCUUAGGUUCGGAAUAACUCCCCGAAAGGGGUGCUAAUACCGGAUAAUGUCUUCGGACCAAAGAUUUAGCGCCUUUGGAUGGGCCCGCGUUGGUUUAGCUAGUUGGUAGGGUAAAAGCCUACCAAGGCGAUGAUGGGGAGCUGGUCUGAGAGGAUGAUCGGCCACAUUGGGACUGAGAUACGGCUCAGACUCGUACGGGAGGCAGCAGUGGGGAAUAUUGUACAAUGGGCGGAAGCCUGAUGCAGCAACGCCGCGUGCGGGAUGAGGGCCUGCGGGUUGUAAACCGCUUUCGCCUGUGACGAAGAGUGAGUGACGGUAAGGGGUAAAGAAGCACCGGCUAACUACGUG
rnacentral:rRNA from 1 species